rnacentral:rRNA from 1 species
GACGCUGGCGGCGUGCUUAACACAUGCAAGUCGAACGAAGCACUUUUUACAGAUUUCUUCGGAAUGAAGUUUUAGUGACUGAGUGGCGGACGGGUGAGUAACGCGUGGGUAACCUGCCUCACACAGGGGGAUAACAGUUGGAAACGGCUGCUAAUACCGCAUAAGCGCACGGUAUCGCAUGAUACAGUGUGAAAAACUCCGGUGGUAUAAGAUGGACCCGCGUCUGAUUAGCUUGUUGGUGAGGUAACGGCCCACCAAGGCGACGAUCAGUAGCCGGCCUGAGAGGGUGAACGGCCACAUUGGGACUGAGACACGGCCCAGACUCCUACGGGAGGCAGCAGUGGGGGAUAUUGCACAAUGGGGGAAACCCUGAUGCAGCGACGCCGCGUGGAGGAAGAAGGUUUUCGGAUUGUAAACUCCUGUCGUUAGGGACGAUAAUGACGGUACCUAACAAGAAAGCACCGGCUAACUACGUG